ensembl:lncRNA
AAGGCAUAAGAAAGGCUUGUUUGUGUUUAUGUGAGGACCACUCUGCUAAGAGCCUUCAUGAGUACAUGGGUCAAGGAUGGUGAUACAGACAGGACGCAGACAGGAUGGAUAAACAGACAUAAAAAUACAGAUGAAGAUGCUGUCCCUGUGUCACCCUUGGUCCAUGACAAACACCCAUGCCAAGAUCUGGACUCAGAGUUUGGAGAUUCAGACAUAGAGGUGGACAUUGAGAGCCUUUAUCCUAAUCAGUCGACAGCAGCCUCUCCCACGCUGACACCGACCCAACAACACCACUUUGUUCUGUACAGCCACACUGGGGAAGUGCUGGAGCCUCCAGGGUGUCCUCCUCUAUCUGACCAUCACAAAGAUCUCAGCCAAGAUAAGGGGAUCCCCCACUGUUUCCAAAAUGCCAUGGAAACACUGAGAGACAUCGGGCAAGCCUAUCAGGACACAGGGAGGGGGAACAGCAGAGGUAUGUCUCUGCCCAGUCUGAGCAACAGCAGCAGACUCUGGGGUCAUGGAGAUGCUGCUCCGACACCUGGCUUGUUGAGCACCAGGACCUCCUGCCAGCCGGUACCUCCCACACACAGACGUAGAACCAGAAGUAUGGUUGCUGCCUCUCCACCCUCUCACAGUCUGCUGUCUGUGGAGCCCAGCCAGCUCAGCCAAUCAGCCCCCAGCAUCAUGGAACCACUACUGUGUCCAAACACUAUGAUGCAGGCCAGAGCACACAUCCAGAGCCGACUUGCUUCUCAAAAUACUGUAAAUGAACAAAAGCCUUUCUUACCAGUUCUGCGAACUCCCAAGCUCCUGGCACCCCUGGAUGGUCGACCCAGAGCCACCACAGUACUAAAGCAACGUGUUCCCCUGAAGCCCAUCAGUCAGAGCCCCCUCUGCUCCAGGACCCGGCUGAGGAGAGAGAGGCUGUCCUGGAGCAGCGGUCCUCCAACCACUAAGGCUGGCAGCGAAGAAAGUGGGUCCAGCAGCAGCAGCCAGAGUUCUAUUGACCUGGAGGAUGAGGAUGAUGACAGAGAUAUACAUGAGAGACAUUAUGACGACAGAAAUCUGAAGUUGUUUGGAAACAGGUUGUUGCACCAUUCGAAGGAUGUAAACUCCUCUGAAGCUGAUGUGGUUGGGGAGACAGGGCUGCAUUUCAAAGCUGAGCCAAGGAUGAGUCAUGUUCCACUGAGCCACAGGUCAGCACAUAACCUGGAGGGAGACCUCAUCAAUCAUACAAGUGGUCCUCUCAGCACUGAAAAAGCUAUGAGCUCUCACUGUGAAGGCAAAAUAACCAAUAUGAAUAUUACAAAAGAGUCUGUUGACAUUGAGGCCUCAAAAAUGCAUAACUGUGCCCAAAAAGGGGACCUCGGGACUCUUGCUAAAGACUCUGUGAAUAAUGAAGUACCUAUCACGAC